rnacentral:rRNA from 1 species
GACGAACGCUGGCGGCGUGCUUCAUACAUGCAAGUCGAACGAGAAGCUGACUUCGGUCAGUGGAAAGUGGCGGACGGGGGCGUAAUAUGUAGGAAAUCUGCCUUUAGGAGGGGGACAACAGAGGGAAACUUCUGCUAAUACCCCAUAUGAGCGUAGCUGAAAUGCUAUUCUUGAAAACUCCGGUGCCUAAAGAUGAGCCUGCAUCUGAUUAGCUAGUUGGUAGUGUAAUGGACGACCAAGGCGACGAUCAGUAGCUGGCGUGAGGGGAUGAGCAGCCACAAUGGGACGGAGGCACGGGCCAUGCAUCUUCGGGAAGGAGCGGAAGGGAGUUUUAGGCAAAGGGCGAGAGCCUGGAAGAGCAACGCCGCGUGAACGAUUAAGCCCGUGGAAGAGUAAAGUUCUGUCAGUGGGGACGAAACUUGACGGUACCCACAGAGGAAGCACCGGCUAACUCCGUG